rnacentral:rRNA from 1 species
UCCUUCGGGGUGAGUGGCAGACGGGUGAGUAACGCGUGGGAACGUGCCCUUCAGUUCGGGAUAACCCAGGGAAACUUGGGCUAAUACCGGAUACGUGCGAGAGCAGAAAGAUUUAUCGCUGAAGGAUCGGCCCGCGUCUGAUUAGCUAGUUGGUGAGGUAAUGGCUCACCAAGGCGACGAUCAGUAGCUGGUCUGAGAGGAUGAUCAGCCACAUUGGGACUGAGACACGGCCCAAACUCCUACGGGAGGCAGCAGUGGGGAAUAUUGGACAAUGGGCGCAAGCCUGAUCCAGCCAUGCCGCGUGAGUGAUGAAGGCCUUAGGGUUGUAAAGCUCUUUCGUCCGGGACGAUAAUGACGGUACCGGAAGAAGAAGCCCCGGCUAACUUCGUGCCAGCAGCCGCGGUAAUACGAAGGGGGCUAGCGUUGUUCGGAAUCACUGGGCGUAAAGGGCGCGUAGGCGGCUUUAUAAGUCGGGGGUGAAAGCCUGUGGCUCAACCACAGAAUUGCCUUCGAUACUGUAUGGCUUGAGACCGGAAGAGGUAAGUGGAACUGCGAGUGUAGAGGUGAAAUUCGUAGAUAUUCGCAAGAACACCAGUGGCGAAGGCGGCUUACUGGUCCGGUUCUGACGCUGAGGCGCGAAAGCGUGGGGAGCAAACAGGAUUAGAUACCCUGGUAGUCCACGCCGUAAACGAUGAAUGCCAGCCGUUGGGCAGCUUGCUGCUCAGUGGCGCAGCUAACGCUUUAAGCAUUCCGCCUGGGGAGUACGGUCGCAAGAUUAAAACUCA